rnacentral:rRNA from 1 species
GGGGGAUAACUAUCCGAAAGGAUAGCUAAUACCGCAUACGGACCCGAGGGUGAAAGCGGGGGGACCGAAAGGCCUCGCGCGAUUGGAGCGGCCGAUAUCGGAUUAGCUAGUUGGUGAGGUAAAGGCUCACCAAGGCGACGAUCCGUAGCUGGUCUGAGAGGACGACCAGCCACACUGGAACUGAGACACGGUCCAGACUCCUACGGGAGGCAGCAGUGGGGAAUUUUGGACAAUGGGGGCAACCCUGAUCCAGCCAUUCCGCGUGAGUGAAGAAGGCCUUCGGGGUUGUAAAAGCUCUUUCAGCAGGAACGAAACGGUGGUCCCUAAUACGGGCUACUAAUGACGGUACCUGAAGAAGAAGCACCGGCUAACUACGUGCCAGCAGCCGCGGUAAUACGUAGGGUGCGAGCGUUAAUCGGAAUUACUGGGCGUAAAGCGUGCGCAGGCGGUUAUAUAAGACAGAUGUGAAAUCCCCGGGCUUAACCUGGGAACUGCGUUUGUGACUGUAUAACUCGAGUGUGGCAGAGGGGGGC